rnacentral:lncRNA from 1 species
AGAUUUGAUGAGCACGGAAGUUGCCUCUGCCCUGGAAAGAUUGAACACCCAAGGGAAAAUGGCAGUGUUGACACCAAGAUGCAGGGGAAGGGAUGCUGGGUGCUGGACUAAGAUUUCAUCUUCUCUCCUUGCACACAGACCUUGCCCACGCAUCCUGCCCAGCCCACCUUCUGCAACCAUGGCAGCCUAUGGCCAGACGCAGUACAGCGCGGGGAUCCAGCAGGCCACUCCCUACACAGCUUACCCGCCUCCAGCACAAGCCUAUGGGAUCCCUUCGUACAGCAUCAAGACAGAAGACAGCUUGAACCAUUCCCCCAGCCAGAGCGGGUUCCUCAGCUAUGGCUCGAGCUUCAGCACCGCGCCCACUGGACAGAGCCCAUACACCUACCAGAUGCACGGUCAGUUUGGCACCUGGCUCCAAGGCACCUCCUGAAUUGGAUGUCCAUUCAUUAAUUCCCUGGCUUAGCAGAUUUCCUGAGCACCUACUAUGUGCCAGGCUCUAUUUCAAGCAGUGGAGUUACAAUGGUAGAUAAAAUAGAUAAAUGACCUGCCCUCAUGGCAGUCCCAUGGCAACAGGGAAAGACUGAUGAUAAACAAGUCAAUAGAUGAACAGGGUAAUUUCAGAAAGGGAUGAGUCUAACAAAGCAGUUCCCAUGGCAUUUGGAUUGAGAGGAAUGAGCUGUUCAGACCUGAGAUGUGUGACUUCAGAUUGAGAAGGCUCUUUGAAGAGGUGACAUUGGACAGAGACCCAAAGAGUGAGGUGGAGCCAGCCAGGCUCAGCCCUGGGGCAGAACAUGACAGGCAGGGGGGCCAACAGUGCAGAGGCUGCGUGGUGG